GACGUAGGAGGCGAGCGUUGUCCGGAUUCAUUGGGCGUAAAGAGCACGCAGGCGGUUUGGCAAGUCGGAUGUGAAAACCCGAAGCUCAACUUCGGGCCUGCAUCCGAAACUGCCCGACUAGAGGUAGGUAGGGGAGAUCGGAAUUCCUGGUGUAGCGGUGAAAUGCGUAGAUAUCUGGAGGAAUACCGGUGGCGGAAGGCGGCAUCCUGGACCGACAU
rnacentral:rRNA from 1 species